ACUAAGUGGUAACUCUGUCAUUUGUGGAGGCCCAACAGCAUGACUCCCCGGGGCCAUCGGCUGCUGUAGUUUCGUUUUCUGGCCUACUACCAGAUGCACUGUAGCAGUGAGGUAGGCUCUUCCUCUUCCUCAACCGAAGGUCCUUUCUUUGGAGUGUCUGUGGACUAGUCCCUGGAGUUGGCACCCUCCUACUGAGCCUCCAAACACUCACAGAAGGCUGCCACCUCGUCCUGUAGGUCUUGUACUUUGCUGGACUCAAGCAGCAGUCAUGCUCUGCCCGCAGGGUACCCAUAGCCCACCCACACCCACAGCCCAUCCCACAGCCCUGGCCGAGCCAUUUUUCCAAAGCCUCCCCUACUGCAUGCAGGGCUUUCUCUAUCUGCACAGGGGACCUGUCCACCUCACACCAUUUCUGGGGGUGGGAGGGUGGGGUGCACCCAGGUACACAGGCUGGUCACUGAGUACUGCAGGCUUGAGGGCGGCCACUUCUGGACACCUCCCAAAGGGGCUGAAGGUUGCGGUGAAUCCUGCCCACUAUGCCCACUGUUCUGCUCUCUCUUGAGAACCAGGCAAAUUCAGUAUGGAUUCAGGCAACCUGAAGAAGAGCCGAGGUGCUGUGGGUAGGUGAGACAUCCCUUUGUUAGCUUCACAGGUGGCAGCAGCACAGCGGGGAAAGCGCCGCUGGCCUUUAUGCUGGUACAGAACAAGGCUGGCAGUUUGCUGGUGUUGCCUGAGAGAGGGCCUCCUCCCGUUGUCCUGCACAUGCACGGGUGUAACUAUCAUCAUACAACAGCUGAUGCGCCGUCACUCCUCACCGGAAUUCCGCAUCCAUGUCUUGUUCUUGAUCUUGGUGGAAAUGCUUUCGGCUUUUCACCGUUGAGAAUGAUGUUCGCUGUGGGUUUUUGCCACGUAUGGCCUUCAUUAUAUGGAGGUAGGUCCCUCUCUGCCCACUUUCUGGGGAGUUUUUAUCAGAGAUGGUUGUUGAAUUUUGUCGAAAGCUUUUUCUGCAUCUAUUGAGAUGAUAAUAUGGUUUUUAUUGUUCAGUUUGUUGAUGUGGUAUAUCACAUUGAUUGAUUUGAGGAUAUUGAAGAAUCCCUGCAUCCCUGGGAUAAAUCGCACUUUAUCAUGGUGUAUUAUCCUUUUUUUUUUUUUUUUGGUUUUAAUAUUGACAUGAUUGCUUUUUCUUAAGUAAUCAAAUACCUGAUAAAGACAGUGUGAAGCACAGUAAAUUAUUUUGGUAGGACACAAAGUCUUUGCUUUCUAAGCAGAUUAUUUAAAAGGUAAAGAAAAUUGUUUGUUUACAAUUUCUUAUUAAGACCAGAACAACAAUCUUUUAAAAAAUUUUGUCCUUUUAGCAGAGAGAAACUAAAUUCUAAUUUUGCUUUGAAAUACUUUUGAUAUUGAAAUUUAUUUUUGGAAAACUUCAUUUCAAAAAAAAAAAAAACUUCAUUUCAAUCUCAGCCAGCUCAACUGCGCAUAAAACUCCUUUUCCAAGAUUCCCUUUCCACAGAUCUUCUACAACUUUCUUAUAUCUCUUCAGAGUUUAUCUUAUUUUCCCCCUUAUUUCCAAUUCUGGAAUAACUAGUCAUUUUACUUUGGGAAAAAAUUACUUUCUCUUUUCCCUCG
rnacentral:lncRNA from 1 species